AGAAUCAACGCUGGCGGCGUGCCUAACACAUGCAAGUCGAACGAGAAAGGAGAGCAAUCCCUGAGUAAAGUGGCGCACGGGUGAGUAACACGUGACUAACCUACCCUUGAGUGGGGGAUAACUGAGGGAACCUUAGCUAAUACCGCAUAAUACCCACGGGUCAAAGGAGCAAUUCGCUCGAGGAGGGGUCGCGGCCGAUUAGUUAGUUGGCGGGGUAAUGGCCCACCAAGACGAUGAUCGGUA
rnacentral:rRNA from 1 species